rnacentral:lncRNA from 1 species
CCCCACACUCAAUACCAGUCUUUCCUAUGCAGUAUGGAACCUUGUAGUACAAUUUCAGAGAGAUACAUACUCUAAAACAAAAGUUAUUGUCUGGUAACUUGAAAAAUGCUUGUUUUUGGCCCCUAAUUCCUGCAUGAAUUGGGCAAUUACCCCAAACUCAAUCCCAGCCUUCCUUUUGUGAUAUGGAACAUUGUGGUACAAUGUCAGAGAGAUCCAUACACUUACACACAAGUUAAUGGCCAGAAACUACAAAAAUGCUUGUUUUUGGCCUCUUUUUGGUCCUUAAUUCCUAAAUUGUUGGCACCAUAACCCCAAAAAUGUAUCCAAACCUUCUAC